CCCACGGAAGUAAUUGUUCUUUAUCUGAAGAGUGUGCUCCAGGCUUACUUUGUUACAACUCAUUAUGUCGUUGCUCAACAAGUCAGUACUAUGAUACUUCAUCUACUAGCUGCAAGAGUGGUGUUCUAUAUGGGGAAAUCUGCACUUCAGAAGUUCACUGCGUAGAAGGAGUACAGUGCAUACUAAAUAUAUGUAACUGUUCAUCAACUGAAUAUUUUGAAACAUCACUAAGAACUUGUGAAAAUAGAGCUGUUUAUGGAAGCACCUGUACUUCACAAAAUCAAUGUGUAGAAGAAUUACUAUGCCUGUCAAAUGUCUGUAACUGUUCGUCAACUCAAUAUUUUGAUCAAUCUACUCAGACUUGCAA
rnacentral:sRNA from 1 species